UACAGAGGUCUCAAGCGUUGUUCGGAUUCAUUGGGCGUAAAGGGUGCGUAGGCGGCGCGGUAAGUCGGGUGUGAAAUUUCGAGGCUUAACUUCGAAACUGCAUUCGAUACUGCCGUGCUUGAGGACUGGAGAGGAGACUGGAAUUUACGGUGUAGCGGUGAAAUGCGUAGAUAUCGUAAGGAAGACCAGUGGCGAAGGCGGGUCUCGUGGACAGUUC
rnacentral:rRNA from 1 species